CCGUACCUUCAAAGAGACAAUAGUACUAUAAGUUACGAUCAUUUUCGAUGUUGUUGAGCAUGUCGAAAAUUGAAGAUGAUGAUGAGAUGAAACAUAUCUAUGAAUCCUGUAAAAAAAUUUUUUUCUGACUUUAUAGAUUGUAUUUACAUUAGGAUUGUAGGAUCAUCCGUCUGUGUCAAGAAAAAAAAAUAUACGAUAAUUUGUUGUAGGUCCCAUCUAGGGUGUGAGGGGUUCAAAUCUGGUCCUUAUAUGCGUCAUGGAGGCUUGGAUGCUUAUCUUAUUCUUUGCAAGGACAUGGACCCCUCAAGCCAGGUCCUUGUCACCUUGUUUUAUUGUGGGAA
rnacentral:lncRNA from 1 species